rnacentral:rRNA from 1 species
UACAGAGGUCCCAAGCGUUGUUCGGAUUCACUGGGCGUAAAGGGUGCGUAGGUGGUAGGGCAAGUCUGACGUGAAAUCUCCGGGCUUAACCCGGAAAUGGCGUUGGAAACUGCUUUGCUGGAGGGUUGGAGGGGGGACUGGAAUACUUGGUGUAGCAGUGAAAUGCGUAGAUAUCAAGUGGAACACCAGUGGCGAAGGCGAGUCCCUGGACAACUCCUGACACUGAGGCACGAAAGCUAGGGGAGCAAACGGG